GGUUAAGCGACUAAGCGUACACGGUGGAUGCCCUGGCAGUCAGAGGCGAUGAAGGACGUGCUAAUCUGCGAUAAGCGUCGGUAAGGUGAUAUGAACCGUUAUAACCGGCGAUUUCCGAAUGGGGAAACCCAGUGUGAUUCGUCACACUAUCAUUAACUGAAUCCAUAGGUUAAUGAGGCGAACCGGGGGAACUGAAACAUCUAAGUACCCCGAGGAAAAGAAAUCAACCGAGAUUCCCCCAGUAGCGGCGAGCGAACGGGGAGCAGCCCAGAGCCUGAAUCAGUGUGUGUGUUAGUGGAAGCGUCUGGAAAGGCGUGCGAUACAGGGUGACAGCCCCGUACACAAAAAUGCACAUACUGUGAGCUCGAUGAGUAGGGCGGGACACGUGGUAUCCUGUCUGAAUAUGGGGGGACCAUCCUCCAAGGCUAAAUACUCCUGACUGACCGAUAGUGAACCAGUACCGUGAGGGAAAGGCGAAAAGAACCCCGGCGAGGGGAGUGAAAAAGAACCUGAAACCGUGUACGUACAAGCAGUGGGAGCACGCUUAGGCGUGUGACUGCGUACCUUUUGUAUAAUGGGUCAGCGACUUAUAUUCUGUAGCAAGGUUAACCGAAUAGGGGAGCCGAAGGGAAACCGAGUCUUAACUGGGCGUUAAGUUGCAGGGUAUAGACCCGAAACCCGGUGAUCUAGCCAUGGGCAGGUUGAAGGUUGGGUAACACUAACUGGAGGACCGAACCGACUAAUGUUGAAAAAUUAGCGGAUGACUUGUGGCUGGGGGUGAAAGGCCAAUCAAACCGGGAGAUAGCUGGUUCUCCCCGAAAGCUAUUUAGGUAGCGCCUCGUGAAUUCAUCUCCGGGGGUAGAGCACUGUUUCGGCAAGGGGGUCAUCCCGACUUACCAACCCGAUGCAAACUGCGAAUACCGGAGAAUGUUAUCACGGGAGACACACGGCGGGUGCUAACGUCCGUCGUGAAGAGGGAAACAACCCAGACCGCCAGCUAAGGUCCCAAAGUCAUGGUUAAGUGGGAAACGAUGUGGGAAGGCCCAGACAGCCAGGAUGUUGGCUUAGAAGCAGCCAUCAUUUAAAGAAAGCGUAAUAGCUCACUGGUCGAGUCGGCCUGCGCGGAAGAUGUAACGGGGCUAAACCAUGCACCGAAGCUGCGGCAGCGACGCUUAUGCGUUGUUGGGUAGGGGAGCGUUCUGUAAGCCUGUGAAGGUGUGCUGUGAGGUAUGCUGGAGGUAUCAGAAGUGCGAAUGCUGACAUAAGUAACGAUAAAGCGGGUGAAAAGCCCGCUCGCCGGAAGACCAAGGGUUCCUGUCCAACGUUAAUCGGGGCAGGGUGAGUCGACCCCUAAGGCGAGGCCGAAAGGCGUAGUCGAUGGGAAACAGGUUAAUAUUCCUGUACUUG
rnacentral:rRNA from 1 species